AUGUUUGUGAAAUCUGUGCCUAUUCCUGAAGUUAACAAUGACCAUGUCAAGAUUGUUGUUGCUAACAGCCUCCAUGAUGUGGUUUUCAACUCUGAAAAAAAUGGUUUGUACCUACCAACAUCUCUUUUUGGAUUUUUCUUUGACAAUUCAUGAAAUUUAGUAGAUAAAAAUAGAAGUUUGUCAAAACAAGGGCAGAGAUUGCCAAAUAUAUAAGGAAAUCAUAAGGACUCGUUAGUUUUUUAAGGUUUUCAUACAUAUUACUUUCUAUAUAGCACUUUAUAUCACUUUAUCUCCAGUCUAUUAAUAUAUACUUAUAUUAUUGUUAUUGUUGCAAUUUGGGUUGUAACAUUGAUCGUGGAUUCCUUUGAAGGUAGAUGUGUUUUCUUUUUCUUUUCCUUUCUCGUACAUUUAGUAUUCUGAUGAAUUAAAUAUGUUUUAACUAUUGUGAAUUUUAAAAAAAAAAAAGAGUGAAAGAUCUCAUAUAAUUCCAUGUACCUUUGCUUCCUACGCUGAGAUGGUGUGUUUGCUGCCUAUCUUCUCUUUGGCUUAUAGUUAUACUUGAGCCCCUUUGUUUUACAUGUCACGGCCACUCAGAACAUCGUUCAAAGUUUUACAUAUCAAAUGGACUUAAGCCCUCUCUUUUGCCUUUUUUAGAUGAUAGGAUUACAUAUCAUUUGAGGCCAGAUUGAAAUGUCUACAACAAAUGGACUUGAGGCCAUGACUUGUGCUCUAAUAUGGGGUGUCGUAACCAUCUUGGCUACUGAGCAUGAAGCAGAAUUUCUAUUCAUAUUCCUGCCCAUUUUAGCUAGGCCUUUAGAAGUAGUAGUAAAAUUUUUGUAGCACAUGUAAAGUUGGAAGGCCUUGGAGCCUUCCCAUUUGUCCCACUUACAUGCAUUGGUUCGUAUGUACUGUAGCUUGAAAAUCAUGACUUUUAGUGGUCUUAAUAGUUCACACUUUGGCCACAUUGUGGCUGGAACAUCCCCACAAUGUUCCUCAUUAGAUAUGUCUAACUAGUUGUUGUUAGCUAUGAACUACCGGGUUAAAACAAUAAUUCCAGGUGAGAUACUAUUUCAAGUGUAUGUUUCAUUGAGAAAUUAUGUGAUGUCUUUUGCCUUUUUGAAAUCUAGCACAUCAUAGUUAUGAGCGUAUGGUUGGUGCGUAUAUAGGUAUAGUGUUUUUUUUUUUUUUUUUAAAUCAUGAAUCUUUCUGGAAUUUCUUCAAAAUGCCAUGUUCAUCUUUCAUAUAUGAAGAAUUUGAAUUGAUAUUGUACUGUGUGAUCAUCCGAAUUUUCUUGAAAUUAUGGAACGUUUGUACUGUAUUUUUUGUCACUUGAUCAUAUUAGUGCAGUCCUUGGUCCUCUCCAUGGAUGAAUUAGAUGCUGUAAGAUUGGCAAUCUCCUCCUUUUUCUUUUUUGAGUUAUUUGAUUAUCUAGCAAAGCAUGAUGAUUUGCAUGUGCAAAUGACCCUAUUGAUCCAAACCAUGCAAGAUUUUUAGGUGUAUCAAAGUGUAGAUGUGGAUGCUCUUCCAAAAAAAAUUCAGAUUGAUUAACAAAAUAGGUUGGCAAGGGAAGAGAUGUUGGACUGAAUCAGAUUACUUUGUUUGAGGGGAAAGUGGCUGGUGGUAAUGGUGAACAAGUUAACUUAGUAGGGAUGUUUCUAGGCUUCUGUGUGCAGAUUCAUUUUGGGGUUCAUCUUUGGUUAUAUUUUAGGGAAGAAGCUUCUCGGGUAUGGCUAAUUAUCUCAUUUCUUCAUCAUUCUGUGAAAAUCUUGCAAAAUUUGAAGAAUUCUUGUUUGUCUUUGUAAACUUCUAAUGGUUGGAUAAAAAUGUAACUAGAUGAAAACAUUCAAACCUGAAAUGUAUGUUCUUCUCAAAUAUUCCAUGUUUCUCUCUCUCAGAUGGUUGGAAAUUUUGGAUCCAAGUGAUUCUUCACGGACAUAUAUGAAAAAAAAAAGUUGAGAUCUACCAAGUGUACCAUCUAUUUUGACGAUCAUAUUGUUCUUUUAUCAUUUAUGAAAAUUGUCCAUUUUGCAGGCCAUUGAUCAGAUGAUCAAGAUCAUCCAGUAAUUUUGGUUUAAUGUUAGUGAUCCAUGAAGAUGAUUAUUAUCCACGUGACCAAUAUAACCCAUUUGUACCCUAAUACAUAGGAUACAUAGAACAAGUACUUUUGGGCAAGAGGGAGAAGAAACAGGAGACUGGGUGUCUUGUUCAUAGGGAAAUUGAACCCAAACUCCAAUGGGGAACCAUAUGCAGAAAUAGGAGAGUUAAUUUAUUACACCUAAAUUAGGAACUCUUUACAGCAGAUCCGGAAUUCAAUUCCUAAGAAAAUAUUGACUCCUGAAGCUAAUUAUGUUAAGGAGAUUCAUCAAGUAUUAUUUCUUAAUUUCUUAUUGCCCUCAUUUAUCAUGUCAAAAAAUGUAAUAAGCUCAUUCAAAAUUUCAGGGAAAUGGACUUGUUG